AGGAGGAAGAGGGCGAAGGGGGAAGAGCUAAAGAGAAACUCCGAAGGAGGAGGAGAAGAAAGGAACAGGGACGGUGAAAGAAAAGUGGGAAAGGGAGAGCAGGCGGAGGAAGACAAAGUCAGCAGGACGAGAGAGACACAUGGAUGAUGAUGAUGAGGAUGAAGAUGAGGAUGGUGAUGGGGAUCCCGAUGCUCCUCCUGCUCCCGCGGCUCCUCUCCUCCUCACCUCCGCCUCCUCCACCUCCGCCUCGCAUCGCUGGCCUCAGCCGCCGCCGACCAGCACAGGGAUGCCCAGACCUUUGAUUUCAGAGACUGCUGCAGGGCAUCAGAGUUCUCCAUCCAGAAGAUCAUGAAGAUGCUUCGUACUUAUGCUCCUUUCCCUGUCUGAAAUUUUUUUCUACUGCCAAAGUCUUCCAAGCCCUUUGAAUGUUUCCCCUUUUCUAGGAAACACACAAGUCCUGUGCUACUGUGUAGUUGCUGGAAACAUCACAACUGUCUGCAGCUUUUACACAGGUGAGAAUUCACUGCAAUCUCCUACACGAGUUGAAGUUUGGUGCUGUGGUACAGCUUUCUCCUGAGGUGGGUGUUAAGUUUGGCAAAAGGCUGGCUGAUUGCAAAGUGAUGUUGUCCAUUGACCCAGUAUGGUAAUUGCACACCAAAAAUACAUUUGAAUAAAGAGGUUCAAGAGACAUUUUAUUAGAGCAGCCACAGAAAAGUUAAAAGUCAUGUUCCUCUGCAGGACACAGUCCAAGCCUUCUAUACAGCAGCCAUCAAAGUGGUAUUUUUUCUGCCUUUGCCCAUAACUCUCCAGCAAAAAUAAAACUGCAGGUAUGUUUCCACAGGAGAACCUUUAUCUUCUGCCAUUUCCAAACUAAGUGGCUGGAAUCAGUUAUGCAAGAAAAAGGAAAUUUGAAUUUUAUUUUGCAAGUACAAACUUAAACCAAGCGAACUGUUAUUUGUAUUUUAUUUGCUCUAUAAAAGCCUAGGCGUACAAAGAACUUUUUACUGGAUAUAAAACCCCACAUUUUCUUUUCAGGUGUCCAUAGGAACACUAGUUUAGCUGAAAAUAAAUAUAAAACCUGCAAAAUACCUUAACUUAGUUUUGCUAAGAAUUAUAAGGAUGGGGGUAAAGGGUGGACUAGUUCCUCUUUAUUUCAAGCUUGUUGCUUUAAUUCCAUGUUGCAUAUGAAACAACAAACAAAAACUCCAUGGAAUGUAAAAAGUUCCUAUGCCUACAAAAGCCUUAACAAUACCACACUGAGCUGAAGAACAACGGCACUGACAUGAAAGGAUUUUCAUUUCUAAGAAAUACCUGGUUACAUCGGAGUUUAGGAAUACAUGCAUUCCAUCCCCUUCUGCAGGGCUGAUUUCCAGCAGCACAGACCUACAACCCCAAAUGAGCUCCCUCCCUGGGAGUCUGAGCUGCAGCAGCACAGGGCACUCCAGGUGAGACAGUGGGAUGGAGACGGGGUGGUAACUUGGGUCUGGGUGAAAGAGGAGAAUCUGCAUUUAAUAGCACAGACUAAGUAUUAUGCUACGUUUAAAAUACUGUUCCCAGCUCACAGUGACAAACUGCACUCUCCACUAACCACAAUGUUUGUACAAAAUUUUGAGAAAAUUCUCCAUUUAGAAAAUGGUAAACUCCCUUUUUCAUACUCAGAGUGCCUUGAAGUACAAACAAAAUUGCUGCUUCCCAGGUUCUUCAUCUCUGCAUCUUUCUUAGACUUGUAUCCUAAAGGUUCAUUUUUCCAAAUGGCAUAAUUUUGGCAGAGGUUGAGGUCAGCGCACUUCCAGAUUGCAUACUGCCUGUCCCUCCUGUAGUAUUACAGGGAUAUGUAGAUGUUUAGCACCUUGAAAACCAGGUUUGCUAUUCAGCUAAAACAAAUGUGCAGAGCAUGAAUAUUACAAUUAUCAGAAAAUUAAAAAAAUCUGUCUGCAUUCAAAGUAAAAAUAAAACUGGGAAAUUUUGAAAUUUCCUGAGGUGCUCUUUUUGAUCAACUAGAACUUUGGCUUCCAUUCAAUUUAGGCAUGUCUUCUGUAGUACAAUGCAAAAUACAAACUACAUUGUGAAUAAUAUAAAAGCACUUUUUCCAGAUGGGAAUGCCGGAACAUAUCUAUUGGGUUUUUUUCUCAAGCAUAUUUUUUAGCAAGUAUGAUUUUCCGAAGCAGUUAAUAAUCAGUGGAGCUGUAUUCUCAAACAGAAAGAGGGCUGCUUUUUUCCUAGUAGAAAUUACAUAUUUCUAUAAUUUUCAUAUUUUAGAGUUCUGUGGUUCUACUUGAACCUUCCUGUUCUUUUUUAGAAAAAAUUCAAGAAAGCCCUUUACAAUAAUUCCUCAUGGAAGUGCCUACUCAUGGUAAACCAUCUAACUCAGGUCCAGUCUAGGCUAAAUUGUUGCUGUGUAUUUUUUCAUGUAUUUGUGUACUUGUGCAAGCCUGAAUUAAAAUACAUGUUUUGAUGGAAGAGAAAGCACACAUGAAACCACAAUCUAACAACUCAUCAGCUCUGUGGAGAUGUUGAAAAGGCAAAGUUCACUCGUGUCACAGUAAAGGAACAGACGGUGUGAAGAAGUCAUCAGACGGAAGGUUUGAAAUGAAGGGGGGAAAAAAGGAAGUUUUCCUACAGAAAGAAUAAUUAAACUGAACUCAUUGUGAACAGACACAGUGGAACCCAAGAGGGUAAAUGAACUAUACACAGCUGGGAAUCCAGACAUACAUUCAGCUUGAAAAAGCAGCCUCAGAAGUCAGGAAAUUCAAAGGUAGGUGUCUCACAACAAAGUUUUUUAGGCACCUUCCCCAAAAAGAUGGAUACUCAAAAGAGCUAGAUACCUCUUAAUAUGCAUUUUUGUUAGUAAUCUGCUCAAUCUAAACUAUAAAACGUGCUGUGCAACAUGACUGAACGAAUAUCGCUGUGAGAAAUAUUUCCCCCAUGUUUGAGUAAUUUGAAUUUGUAAGCUAAUGUAAGUUUUUGUAUUAAAUAAUGUUCUGUGUGCAAUUUUCUUUCUUGUAAAGCACUUUGAAGCUUUCAAAGGGCACUCUAGGUUCAUAAAUAAUAUGGUAUUCUUUGCCAGAACUGUAGGGCAUUUCCCAUAAAUUCCGAAUCUUCUUUGCCAGAAUUGCAACAUGUUGCAUGCCAAAUCCUGCACACAAAUGUUCUACAUGUGGCAAAUACAUAUUGGUAAAGACCAGAGGCAUGGCAUUCCUGGAUUUCUUAGAAAGAGUGGGGGCAGGGAAAGAAGUGGGAAGGAAUAACAAGGGAGGGAAGAGAGAAAAAAUGUCUGUACAUCAUUUAAAAAAACAAAAAAACAACAAAAAAACCACACCCCCCCACCCCAAACAACCCAUAACCAGCACUUAAUUAUUUUCAAAAGCUAAACUGUUUGCUGCAUGUAGCACAAACUCACAGGUACCCAGAGCUGAGUCUUUAGUUUACCUUCAGUUAUGGAAAUCAGGCCUCUUUUUCUGAGAUGGGUGUAGAUUUUUCAAACCCAGAUAUUUGUAUGGGUCAGAACACCCGCAAUCCCCUCUCCUCCCAGAACAUGCCAAUGGUAACAGAGUGGCUACAAACCUGGAGCAGCAGAGUCAGGACUGCCACCACUUCACAGGCUGUGACCAUGAAUCCUCUUCUUCAGGCAAAGAGGUGGAUGCAUUUCUUAUGCC